rnacentral:rRNA from 1 species
GUGUCAGCCGCCGCGGUAAUACGGAGGGUGCAAGCGUUAUCCGGAAUCAUUGGGUUUAAAGGGUCCGCAGGCGGUCUUAUAAGUCAGUGGUGAAAGCCUACAGCUUAACUGUAGAACUGCCAUUGAUACUGUAAGACUUGAAUUCGGUCGAAGUGGGCGGAAUGUGACAUGUAGCGGUGAAAUGCUUAGAUAUGUCACAGAACACCGAUAGCGAAGGCAGCUCACUAGGCCUGGAUUGACGCUCAUGGACGAAAGCGUGGGGAGCAAACAGGAUUAGAUACCCCCGUAGUCC